AAACCAUCAAUUCAUAGCACAUUGCAGACAGAGCAAUCAUGAAGAUUUCUACCAAUUUGAGAAAGUUUUGAUUGCAGAGAAGAGCAUGGGAGAUUGGCAAAUGCAGGAUAAUCAGUGGAUUAAUACUUGCAAUUCAGACGGUAAAAUUUCUGCAUAUUGCCUUCAAAAACCCUCCCAUGAGAGUAACCAAUCUGAGGAUGGGAAGACUGUGAUACCUUCAUCAACAAUUCGCUUUGCAUUGCUGCUACUUUCAGUCUUAUAUUACAUUGCCCAUGUUAUUAUCACUGGAGGUGUGGCAAUGGACCAAAAUACAUCCAGAAGUAAAGAGAGGAAGGAUGAAAAGACAAGAUGCAACGUGAAUUGUUUUGAUGAAAUGAAUAGAGAUAUGUAAUAAUAUUUCUGUUACAUCAAACUGUUUCAUUGCAAUGUAAUACAUUCAUUUUGGAUCUGUGUAGCUAACAUUAAAGCAUGCUUAUCAUAUUGUUUUUAAGGAACAAACAGUCUA